GUAGGUGGUAAUUUAAGUGAAUAGUGAAAUCUUGUGGCUCAACCAUAAGGCUAUUAUUCAAACUGAGAUACUUGAGAAUGAGAGAGGUCACUGGAAUUCCCUGUGUAGGAGUGAAAUCCGUAGAUAUAGGGAGGAACACCAAUGGCGUAGGCAGGUGACUGGCUCAUUUCUGACACUGAGGCACGAAAGCGUGGGGAGCGAACGGGAUUAGAUACCCCGGUAGUCCACGCCGUAAACGAUGGAUGCUAGCUGUUAGGAGUAUCGACCCUUCUAGUAGCGAAGCUAACGCGUUAAGCAUCCCGCCUGGGGAGUACGGUCGCAAGAUUAAAACUCAAAGGAAUUGACGGGGACCCGCACAAGUGGUGGAGCGUGUUCUUUAAUUCGAAGUUAAGCGAAGAACCUUACCAGGGCUUGACAUCCCGAGAAUUUCUGCGAAAGCAGAGAGUGCCUUUAUUGGAAUUCGGUGACAGGUGUUGCAUGGCCGUCGUCAGCUCGUGUCGUGAGAUGUUUGGUUAAGUCCAUCAACGAGCGCAACCCCUAUGAUUAGUUGAAUUUCCCUAAUCAGACUGCCCCGGUGACGGGGAGGAAGGAGGGGAUGAGGUCAGGUCAUUAUUGCCCUUACGCCCUGGGCUAGAAACGCGCUACAAUGGCUGGUACAAAGGGCUGCCAACCCGCGAGGGGGAGCAAAUCCCAUUAAAACCAGUCCCAGUUCGGAUUGCAGGCUGAAACUCGCCUGCAUGAAGCCGGAAUCACUAGUAAUCGUAGGUCAGCACACUACGGUGAAUACGUUCCCGGGUCUUGUACACACCGCCCGUCAAACCAUGGAAGUCACCAACACCCGAAGUCCUAACUUGUUUAGGCCUAAGNUGGGGGGGAUAACUGGGGUU
rnacentral:rRNA from 1 species